rnacentral:lncRNA from 1 species
UAGGCAUCAAAAAAAUCUUUCACUCAAAUUGUAUUCCAUCUUUAUGUUAAUCACCCUAAUUGUAGCAGAUAUCUCUUUUUUUUUUUCUUCACUAUCCAACGAAUAAAAACUUCAUUGCUUCCAAAAUAUGUUUCUUUUAACGCAUUUAUUUCCUUCCUAGAUGUUUACGUUUCAAGCAUGUCACGAUCUCUAUGAUCUCUAGGAAAACGCUGUUACACUGCAACAAUCUGAUCAUCGAGGUGGUGAAUUAAGAGAAUCGCUUUGACCUUUUAUAAAAAGUCCUUUCUUUGAUUUUCCACAUCUACUUUUCUAUAUUUGCCCUGAGUUCUCUUCAGUUUCGUAUCAUCAUAUUUGAACCUGUUGAAAGACAAAAUUUUAAAGUAUGAUAAAAAAAAAACUUUGGAAGAGGAAACACACAGAGAGGAAGCUGUGUGUUCUUCAAGGGAUGGAUCGAGGAGAGAACAAUAAGUUUUCCUCACAACAAUGGGACCUUUACCUCGACGCUUAACAGAGGCUGUGCUGUUGAUGGUGAUAUCAUCUGACCUCUGCAUUGCUUCCCUGCCGGAUAUAUUACUAUCUCGAUAAUCUUUUGUUGACGUUGUCGCCGAGUCGGACAAAACUUCGAGAGGAGAAAUGUAUCACGGACCAGUACUAAACGUGCAGCGUGAACCCUUCUGGCAGCAAGUAUCUCAUGGGAGGAAAUAGCCAACUCUCGUUGCAAGUAUAUACCAGUAAAAGUCAAGUUCCCAUUUGUUUUUUUUGUUUCAAUAAAAGAAAAUCAAAGGGUAAGUAUUUAACUUACUUCUAACUUCUCCCUAUUGACCAUCCGCUCUUACAUACGGCGUAACCUCUCAAGUUCAACCUGAGAGAGAUAUAGCAAAAUGUCCAAAAGUUAAAAAAAUAAUUUGCGAGAGAAAGCAAAACAUGCUUAAUGCAGCAAUGGUAAAAACAUGUGAUAUUAAGAGUUUUCAAGGCUCCUAAGACAAAUGUUGUAGUAUAGUGAUUGUCGAACCAGUUCUGAGGGAUAUCAAAGCACUGAGAAUGCAAAUACUCACUUAAUCUAAGUGCAACCAAUGAUUUAGAUGAGUUUUAAGCUAUGACUAAAACUAGAAAGCAAUAACAAAAUGAUACUUUUUGACUAAGAGAAAAGAGAAACUCAUGGGCAUAGGGAUUAGACCUUGGGUGAUCAAGUAUCGAACUAAGGAUGGCAAAUGAUCAAUCAAACUAUCAACC